rnacentral:rRNA from 1 species
UACGGGGGGGGCAAGCGUUGUUCGGAAUUACUGGGCGUAAAGGGCGCGUAGGCGGUUUGCUAAGUUGGAUGUGAAAACUCUGGGCUUAACCCAGAGCCUGCAGGCGAAACUGCCGUGCUUGAGGGUGGGAGAGGUGCGUGGAAUUCCCGGUGUAGCGGUGAAAUGCGUAGAUAUUGGGAAGAACACCGGUGGCGAAGGCGGCAACCUGGUCCUUGACUGACGCUGAGGCGCGAAAGCGUGGGGAGCAAACAGG